rnacentral:rRNA from 1 species
UACGGAGGGGACUAGCGUUGUUCGGAAUUACUGGGCGUAAAGCGCACGUAGGCGGAUUUGUAAGUCAGGGGUGAAAUCCCGGGGCUCAACCUCGGAACUGCCUUUGAUACUGCAAAUCUCGAGUCCGGAAGAGAUGAGUGGAAUUCCUAGUGUAGAGGUGAAAUUCGUAGAUAUUAGGAAGAACACCAGUGGCGAAGGCGGCUCACUGGUCCGGUACUGACGCUGAGGUGCGAAAGCGUGGGGAGCAAACAGG